AUGGACCAUUCCAUCCCUUUUUCCCGUGCAUAUGCAUCGGACUCGGAUGACGAUGGUCCCGAUGAACAAGUUGAUGCGGAGGGGUUCACGGUGAAGGAGGCCGAAGCUUUCGAGAAGGUAUUUGGUCGGGAUCAUCGGACUACAUUGUUCAAGGAUGUUAGUCUCGCGGAUGAAGCCGUGGUAAAUGGUGGCCAAUGUGUACCUCUUGGGGUUAGGCCAAGCUCUCACCGUGAUUUGGUAGACGACAAGAACCGGAUUGCUAAAGGUUCUAGUUCGACAGCUUGUUGGAUUUGA
rnacentral:rRNA from 1 species